ACUCCUACGGGAGGCAGCAGCAGUGGGGAAUAUUGGACAAUGGGCGAAAGCCUGAUCCAGCCAUGCCGCGUGUGUGAAGAAGGUCUUCGGAUUGUAAAGCACUUUAAGUUGGGAGGAAGGGCAGUAACUUAAUACGUUGCUGUUUUGACGUUACCGACAGAAUAAGCACCGGCUAACUCUGUGCCAGCAGCCGCGGUAAU
rnacentral:rRNA from 1 species